rnacentral:rRNA from 1 species
UACGGAGGGUGCGAGCGUUGUCCGGAAUCACUGGGCGUAAAGGGCGCGUAGGUGGCGCGGGCAGUCAACGGUGAAAGUUCGGGGCUCAACCCUGAAUCGGCCGUCGAUACUCCCGUGCUUGAGCACUGUAGAGGCAGAUGGAAUUCCGGGUGUAGCGGUGGAAUGCGUAGAGAUCCGGAAGAACACCGGUGGCGAAGGCGGUCUGCUGGGGUCGAACUGGACGCUGAGGCGCGACAGCGUGGGGGAGCAAACAGG